rnacentral:lncRNA from 1 species
GCUGGAGGCCGGGCUGUGUGAGGGAGGGCAACCCCAUGCAAAGCCCUCCGAGGUUGGACAGAGACAGAGAAUCCGGGCCUGUUUCAGGGCAACGGGCAAAAGGGUCCACGCUAGGGCAAAGUCAUCUCCACAGGAGGAAGCCGGCAGCUCUGAGAGGUGGGGACCCGGUGCUGCGACCCUCUCUCUCCUUGCUCGUCACUCUAUCUCGAGACAGGAGUCUAACAGGCAGGGGUCUGCAAUAAUGACCACAGGUGUUUACAGAAUGGUGCUGGUGGCGCUGGAGGGAGAAAACACAGGCUGGGAUCACAGGUGCAGAGGUGCAGGGUCAAAGGGCGACUGAACCAAAUGAACGAAUGAGAUUCACAGGAAAGCAAGGAAACACAUGCUCUGAUACUUCCAAAAUAAGUCCUACAAAGGAGCCCGAUGGCAAAAGCUGCGCUGGGCAGCAGUUCAGAGGGACAACUCUGGGGAGCAGGUCGUAAGGAAAGACAGACCUAACAUACAGGUCGAUAAGAACCAAUCCCGAGACACUUGCUAGAAAAUCAGUUGCAAAGAUCUGAUUAUCGGUGCACUUGGAAAGCAAAUGAUGCCUACACCCAACGUUUGGGAAGAAUCGAAGUUUCGCUAUGGAGAGAUCGCACCGAGGUGGAAUUCUCUUCAAGUAGUUUGAGAAGUUAGACAAGGGUUGCCAUGCACAGAACCUAGCAACCUCACUGCCCAAGGAACAGCGGAAGUCUUUUAGCUGUGGGGAUUGGAAAUAACAUCUCACAGAGCUGAUGCUGGUCUUUUCUCAGAAGCUCUUCUGUCCUCAGUAUCCGCGGUCCAGUUCUUGGGUCUCAGGCUGCUCAGAGACUGGCUGACACAGCACGGGGCAGUGUGUGCGCUCAUGGGGCACAGUGGGUUCCCAGCUACUAGAGGAGCAUGAAAGGACGGAUGGCCACGCACUGGCCUAUGGCAGGGGGGAUUCCUGCCCUGGAAAUGACCCUUCUCAUCAGAGGCUUUCUCC